rnacentral:rRNA from 1 species
UUUAUGGAGAGUUUGAUCCUGGCUCAGGAUGAACGCUGGCGGCGUGCCUAAUACAUGCAAGUCGAGCGAACAGACGAGGAGCUUGCUCCUCUGACGUUAGCGGCGGACGGGUGAGUAACACGUGGAUAACCUACCUAUAAGACUGGGAUAACUUCGGGAAACCGGAGCUAAUACCGGAUAAUAUAUUGAACCGCAUGGUUCAAUAGUGAAAGACGGUUUUGCUGUCACUUAUAGAUGGAUCCGCGCCGCAUUAGCUAGUUGGUAAGGUAACGGCUUACCAAGGCAACGAUGCGUAGCCGACCUGAGAGGGUGAUCGGCCACACUGGAACUGAGACACGGUCCAGACUCCUACGGGAGGCAGCAGUAGGGAAUCUUCCGCAAUGGGCGAAAGCCUGACGGAGCAACGCCGCGUGAGUGAUGAAGGUCUUCGGAUCGUAAAACUCUGUUAUUAGGGAAGAACAAAUGUGUAAGUAACUAUGCACGUCUUGACGGUACCUAAUCAGAAAGCCACGGCUAACUACGUGCCAGCAGCCGCGGUAAUACGUAGGUGGCAAGCGUUAUCCGGAAUUAUUGGGCGUAAAGCGCGCGUAGGCGGUUUUUUAAGUCUGAUGUGAAAGCCCACGGCUCAACCGUGGAGGGUCAUUGGAAACUGGAAAACUUGAGUGCAGAAGAGGAAAGUGGAAUUCCAUGUGUAG